UAUCAUACAUUCAAAAUGGCGGAUUUUAGUGCCUUUAUAUGGAACCAUCUAUCCUUAUAUCGAUUGGAAGAUGUUCUUUAUGUAGGCUCCUGUUCUUCCGCCCAAUUCCAACGUUGAUAU
rnacentral:precursor_RNA from 8 species